rnacentral:rRNA from 1 species
UGAUUAUGACGUACUUGUACUGAUUGAGAUUUUAACACGAAGUGAGUGGCGAACGGGUGAGUAACACGUGGGUAACCUGCCCAGAAGUAGGGGAUAACACCUGGAAACAGAUGCUAAUACCGUAUAACAGAGAAAACCGCAUGGUUUUCUUUUAAAAGAUGGCUCUGCUAUCACUUCUGGAUGGACCCGCGGCGUAUUAGCUAGUUGGUGAGGUAAAGGCUCACCAAGGCAGUGAUACGUAGCCGACCUGAGAGGGUAAUCGGCCACAUUGGGACUGAGACACGGCCCAGACUCCUACGGGAGGCAGCAGUAGGGAAUCUUCCACAAUGGACGCAAGUCUGAUGGAGCAACGCCGCGUGAGUGAAGAAGGGUUUCGGCUCGUAAAGCUCUGUUGUUAAAGAAGAACGUGGGUAAGAGUAACUGUUUACCCAGUGACGGUAUUUAACCAGAAAGCCACGGCUAACUACGUGCCAGCAGCCGCGGUAAUACGUAGGUGGCAAGCGUUAUCCGGAUUUAUUGGGCGUAAAGCGAGCGCAGGCGGUCUUUUAAGUCUAAUGUGAAAGCCUUCGGCUCAACCGAAGAAGUGCAUUGGAAACUGGGAGACUUGAGUGCAGAAGAGGACAGUGGAACUCCAUGGGUAAAGC